rnacentral:rRNA from 1 species
CUCGUAGGCGGUUCGUCGCGUCCGGUGUGAAAGUCCAUCGCUUAACGGUGGAUCCGCGCCGGGUACGGGCGGGCUUGAGUGCGGUAAGGGAGACUGGAAUUCCCGGUGUAACGGUGGAAUGUGUAGAUAUCGGGAAGAACACCAAUGGCGAAGGCAGGUCUCUGGGCCGUUACUGACGCUGAGGAGCGAAAGCGUGGGGAGCGAACA